ACAGUCCCUCCUGCGGCAGACUGGCAAGAACGCCUCUGACGAGAAGGGCAAGUGCUUUCGAACCAAGUAAAAUAGAACUUGAAUGUAGCUGCUGCUAAUAACUCGCCUUAGGACCCAGGAGUGGAACCGGAGUGCGUCCUUGCAUCCUUUUGCUGCCCUGCAGCGGGUUGAUUUACAGCACCACGGGUUAACCUAUGCCUCGGCUCCUUUAACUGGGACUCAUGAGCCCGAUCCCAAAGCUGCAAAGAACUGGGUUGCAAUUGGCCAGUCCGUGCCUCAGAUUGGAGGUACAACUGGCUGAGGCUCUGGGCUAGAGCCUUCUGGGGAUCCGGCGAAGGAGUGCAAGGAAAUCGUGCGUGGCUACAAAUGGGCUGAGUACCACGCGGACAUCUAUGACAAAGUGUCAGGCGAGCUGCAAAGGAAUGGCUAUGACUGUGAGUGCCUAGGCGGCGGGCGCAUCUCCCAUCAGAGCCAGGACAGGAAGAUACACGUGUAUGGCUACUCUAUGGGUUACGGUCGUGCCCAGCACUCUGUUUCAACUGAGAAGAUCAAAGCCAAGUAUCCUGACUAUGAGGUCACCUGGGCUGACGAUGGCUACUGAAGCUCUGCCCCACCCCCCACCCCCCGGACUAAGUCAGGUCUCUGCUCUUGCUGUGUUCUGUUUUGAGGGGCUGGCCCUGUGCUUUCCUUUUGUACCUUAGGCAGCAUAGCACCUGCCAGGCCUUAGAGGCCAGACCAAUCUGGUCCAUAGGAAUUAAAAGCAUUGAUAUGCCUACUA